rfam:Bombyx mori DNA, contig: Bm_scaf35_contig21163, strain: p50T/Dazao, build 2, whole genome shotgun sequence.
ACAACAUUAGGACCGUCGGUCUACCAAGCAAAAUAUCACCCGCUCGGUGGAAGAUCUUUCCUUUCGUCGU